rnacentral:rRNA from 1 species
UCGGGGAGGCAGCCAUGAGGAAUAUUGGACAAAGGGGGGAAAUCUGAUCCAGCCCAGCCGCCUGCAGGAAGAAGGUCCUAUGGAUUGUAAACCGCUUUUGUACGGGAGCAAUAAGAUCUACGAGUAGAUUGAUGAGAGUACUGUACGAAUAAGCAUCGGCUAACUCCGUGCCAGCAGCCGCGGUAAUACGGAGGAUGCAAGCGUUAUCCGGAUUUAUUGGGUUUAAAGGGUGCGUAGGUGGACUGUCAAGUCUGUGGUGAAAAGUUCGCGCUCAACGCGAAUCGUGCCAUGGAAACUGGUGGUCUUGAAUAGGGGUGCCGUUGGCGGAAUUUGAAGUGUAGCGGUGAAAUGCAUAGAUAUUACACAGAACAUCGAUUGCGAAAGCAGCUGACGAACCCUCGAUUGACCAUGAGGCCCGAAAAGGGGGGGAUUGAACCGGAUUAAAAACCCUGGUUGUUCCCCCCGUAAACGAUGACAACUGGCGGUUGGCGAUAA